rfam:Chaetomium globosum CBS 148.51 scaffold_2 genomic scaffold, whole genome shotgun sequence.
GCGCGGUUAGUUCAGUGGUUAGAAUUCUCGCUUCCCAUCUUCUCUUGGAAUAGCGAGUGACCCGGGUUCGAAUCCCGGAUUGCGCA